rnacentral:rRNA from 1 species
UACGUAGGGUGCAAGCGUUGUCCGGAUUUAUUGGGCGUAAAGAGCUCGUAGGCGGUUUGUCGCGUCGGAUGUGAAAACCCAGGGCUCAACCCUGGGCCUGCAUUCGAUACGGGCAGACUAGAGUAUGGCAGGGGAGACUGGAAUUCCUGGUGUAGCGGUGAAAUGCGCAGAUAUCAGGAGGAACACCGGUGGCGAAGGCGGGUCUCUGGGAAACAACUGACGCUGAGGAACGAAAGCGUGGGUAGCAAACAGG